GGCCUUAUGGUCUAGUCGCAUGAUUCCUCGUUUGGGUUGAAUUUCGAGGAGGUCCUGGGUUCAAUUCCCAGUGAGGCCC
rnacentral:tRNA from 1 species